rnacentral:lncRNA from 1 species
UUUCUUGGGUCAAAGUCCUUCUCUGAAAUUAACCUUUGAGAACUCAUUUUAACUUAUACAUGAAAACAUGUUUAUACGCAACCAAGUCACUAGGAAUCGAGAUAAUCUUAAAAUGUAAUUCCAAGAAAUUGUCAUUUUAAAACUGUUGCACUCCUAACAUCAAAGAAGUGGUUUUAAAAGAAAAAAUCCUUGUAAAUCAGGCUUCUCUUUGAUUGCAAU